UUUUUUGCUAUGGUUGACUAAAUAUGGUCAGGGAAGAGAGAGGCACAAGAGAGCCUGUUUGCCUGGGAGUGCAUGUUUCAAAUGCUUAGCUGCCUAUAAAGCUGUAACAGUUUAGCCUGUGGCCACUGAGGGAAGAAUAUAAGUUAAGCUCUGUAGUGACCAUGUGGAAGUCCUGACCUUGCUUGCAGACUUGACCUCUGGAUAUGACAAGGUAAGGUUCUGUGAUCAUGAUACUUCCCCCUCACUUCCCCCGGCUCAUGAAAAGAAGUGCUGAAUCAGCGAACAGAGUGAAGAAACAAUCAAGAUGAGAUGGCUGCUGCUGAUGUGACUCUCUGGGUCACUCUCUCUCUCCCUGCUGCAAAUGCUGCAUGACACUAAGCUUACAGGUUUCAGAAGCAAAUUACAAAAUAUGAAGAAAUUUGCUCUGACGACUAUCAAGAUACACUACACCGGUCUUACCAAUUUCUGAAACACACUGCAAAACUCCACCGAUUCUACGAAUCUCUUGCAAAAAGAACCAAACCAGGACAAAGUUCAACAGAUAACUGGUCACUGUUUAGAAGUAUAUGUCCACCAAGAACAAGGAACCAUAAAUGGCACUAAUAAUGUCAUGCUUCAGGUUUUACCUGAAGACUGGGAUGACAGCCAAAAUCCAAUAAAGUCUUCACAACUUGAAGAUGGCCUUUAUUGACAGCAAUAUGAAGCGGUGUCUGUCGGCGCUUGUUGCGAGCAUUCAAGUCAGCGCUGCCUCGGUGUAGGACCUCUAUCACAGCCCCUUCAUCUCCAAAGGCUGCGUGAUGAACGGCUCUAUCUCCAUCUUUAUCCUAAACAUCAGCAUUUAAACCUGACUUAGUGAAUAUUUUAGAAAGAAAAAUAAACUUGAAGCUAUAAUUCACCAAGAAUCAGAGUAAUGUGAGAAAAGGAAACAAAAUGGAACCAAGAAAAUAAUUAGAAAUUCACUUGAAUAGCAAUUAACUCCAAAGAUAAAUGAUGAACCUGGAUCAAUAUAUCACAUCACACCUAUAUUGGACCAAUAGUUUUAUCAGAAGUAGUUCAAUUCCUCAUUACUCCUACUUUAUCAGCCAUGACAGUAAGUUAACGUUAGGAAAAUGUUAAAUUAUGAUACAACUGUAUAAACUUUUUUCCAUUUAAAAAAAUUUCACGAAGAAUUUUUACAUUAUAUACCCUUUUUUAUAUUCUUCCAUACUCCAUUUCCAAUUUUAACAUCCAGAAGUAAGCCUGCUCUAAGAUUCUCUCCAGAGCCGUGGUUCUGAACCCACGGUCCCAGGCCCUGGUGGACUCUAGUUCUUGCAAGUGGUCUGAAAAUCCACAUGGUACUUGGAAUUAUUUGAAUUACUUUUCAAAGAUAACACAGAUAACCACUGCUGUGAUUAAAUACAUUUAAUGUGUUUAAAUACAUUAAAACAAACAGUUGCUGAUUUCAAAAUA